rnacentral:lncRNA from 1 species
UUUGAGUUUUACUCUACUGUUGGUGGUUUUGAGCUGAAUUAUGUUGUUUUGGUGUUCUUGAUGCAAUCUUUGAAGGAAGCUGGGUUUUUGGAUCAGAGGGUGAUUCUCCAUCAUAGUCCACUGGAUUUGGGACCUUCCUCACCUGAUUUGAAGAUUGUUAAGUGAGUUUUGACAUUGGAAUUGGAGAUUUUAGCUUAAGUGCUGAAAUUUGAGGGUUAUAAUGCAAUUGUUGAUAUUUUGGUGUUUA